UACGGAGGCUCCGAGCGUUAUCCGGAUUUAUUGGGUUUAAAGGGUGCGCAGGCGGCCAUUUAAGUCAGCGGUUAAAUCGUGGGGCUCAACCCCAUUCUGCCGUUGAUACUGGGUGGCUUGAUUGCGGUCGAGGUUGGCGGAAUUCGUUGUGUAGCGGUGAAAUGCAUAGAUAUGACGAAGAACACCGAUUGCGUAGGCAGCUGACCAGAUCGCAAAUGACGCUCAUGCACGAAAGUGCGGGGAUCGAACAGGAUUAGAUACCCUGGUAGUCCGCACAGUAAACGAUGAAUACUUGUUUUCGGCGAUAUAAUGUCGGAGGCAAAGCGAAAGCGAUAAGUAUUCCACCUGGGGAGUACGCCGGCAACGGUGAAACUCAAAGGAAUUGACGGGG
rnacentral:rRNA from 1 species